UACGUAGGUGGCAAGCGUUGUCCGGAAUUAUUGGGCGUAAAGCGCGCGCAGGCGGUCUUUUAAGUCUGAUGUGAAAGAUCGGGGCUCAACCCCGAGAGGUCAUUGGAAACUGGGAGACUUGAGUACAGAAGAGGAGAGUGGAAUUCCACGUGUAGCGGUGAAAUGCGUAGAUAUGUGGAGGAACACCAGUGGCGAAGGCGACUCUCUGGUCUGUAACUGACGCUGAGGCGCGAAAGCGUGGGGAGCAAACAGG
rnacentral:rRNA from 2 species